CGAAUCACAAGCCCUGGCUACCAGCUGGGGCGGUUUUGAGGCUCGGUGGCUGGACCCCCGAAGGGUACCUGGAGUAGAGGGCGGUUCCCCAGGGACCACCCCGGCCUCGGUGACUAGCAUGCAGAUACCCGUUCUCUGACCUGCUGCCCCUCUUCUGACAUGGCCCACCGCGGUGGGGAGAGGGACUUCCAGACGUCAGCGCGGCGCAUGGGCACCUCGCUGCUCUUCCAGCUUUCGGUGCAUGAGCGGGAGCUGGACCUGGUGUUUCUGGAUCACAGCUAUGCCAAGCCGUGGAGUGCCCACCCAGAUGCCAGUAGUGCCCGCCCCACCCGCAUGCUCUUUGUUACUCCCCGGAGGCAGCACGAAAGUACCAUCGAGUCAGACGUCCCAAUAGAUGUGGAGACAGUCACAUCAACCCCUGUGCCACUUUAUGACAAUCAGAAGGCACGCAGCGUGAUGAAUGAGUGUGAACGGCAUGUCAUCUUCGCCAGGACCGAUGCAGAUGCACCUCCCCCUCCAGAGGACUGGGAGGAGCAUGUCAACAGGACUGGCUGGACAAUGGCCCAGAACAAGCUAUUCAACAAGAUCCUCAAAGCCCUGCAGUCUGAUCGGCUUGCCCGCUUGGCCAACGAAGGGGCUUGUAACGAGCCAGUGCUGCGCCGUGUUGCCGUGGACAAGUGUGCGAGGAGAGUGCGGCAAGCUCUGGCGAGUGUGAGCUGGGACACCAAGCUGGUCCAGUGGCUGCACACCACCCUGGUGGAGACCUUGAGUCUGCCCAUGCUGGCCGCCUACCUGGAUGCUUUGCAGACACUGAAAGGGAAGAUCCCUACCUUGAUUGACCGGAUGCUCGUGUCGUCCAACACGAAGACCGGGGCUGCUGGAGCUGAGGCCUUGUCCCUCCUACUGAAGAGGCCCUGGGACCCUGCUGUGGGAGUGCUCUCUCAUAACAAACCAAGCAAACUCCCCGGCUCUCCUCUCAUUCUCAUUGCCCCCUCCGGGCCCUCCAGCUCCGUGUUCCCCACCUCGCGCCGCCACCGCUUCUGGCAGUCUCAGCUGUCCUGCUUAGGCAAGGUCAUCCCUGUUGCCACCCAUCUGCUGAACAAUGGUAGUGGAGUAGGAGUUCUGCAGUGUCUGGAGCACAUGAUUGGGGCAGUGCGAAGCAAAGUGCUGGAGAUUCAUAGCCAUUUCCCCCACAAACCCAUUAUCUUGAUUGGCUGGAAUACAGGAGCUUUGGUGGCCUGUCACGUGUCGGUGAUGGAAUACGUCACUGCAGUUGUCUGCCUUGGGUUUCCUCUGCUUACCGUGGAUGGCCCCAGAGGGGAUGUGGAUGAUCCCCUCUUGGAUAUGAAGACUCCAGUCCUCUUUGUCAUUGGUCAGAAUUCCCUGCAGUGUCACCCUGAAGCCAUGGAGGACUUCCGGGAGAAGAUUCGGGCCGAGAACAGCUUGGUGGUGGUUGGGGGAGCUGAUGAUAAUCUCAGAAUAAGCAAAGCAAAAAAGAAGUCGGAAGGGUUGACUCAGAGCAUGGUGGACAGAUGUAUUCAGGAUGAGAUUGUGGACUUCCUGACUGGAGUGCUCACUCGCGCGGAGGGGCACGUGGGCUCUGAGCCUCGGGAUCAGGACGCUGAGAAGAAGAAGAAGCCCCGGGACGUGGCCCGCAGAGACCUGGCCUUUGAGGUCUCUGAGCGGGGCAGUCGACCUGCGUCACCAGCUGCCAAGCUACCUGCCUCACCCUCAGGCUCGGAGGAUCUCUCCAGUGUGUCCAGCAGCCCCACCUCCAGUCCCAAGACCAAAGUGACCACAGUGGCCUCUGCCCAGAAGUCCAGUCAGAUCGGAAGCACUCAGCUGCUGAAGAGACAUGUGCAGCGGACAGAGGCUGUGCUCACCCACAAACAAGCUCAAGCGCAGUUUGCUGCUUUUCUGACACAAAACAUGCUGGUGAGGAAAGCUCUUCCUCCCGGCACCUCCUCCUGUCUCUUUGUUCCUGUUUCAUCAGAACAAACGGAGGAAGCCGAGAAAGAGGAUCUCCGGGUCCAGCUGAAGCGGCACCAUCCCUCCAGUCCUCUUCCUGGCAGUAAGACCUCCAAGCGACCGAAGAUCAAGGUGUCCCUUAUCUCCCAAGGGGACACAGCUGGAGGGCCUUGUACUCCUUCCCAAGGAGGAGCUCCAGAAGCCGCAGGAGGGAAGCCCAUCACCAUGACACUGGGACAAGCUUCCGCAGGGGCCAAGGAGCUCACAGGGCUUCUCACCACAACCAAGUCAAGUGCUGCUGAAGGGGGAGCCUCAGCCAGCCCGGCGUCCUCAGCGGUCUCCAGCAGCACUGCUCCCAGUGCCUUGCACACACUCCAGAGCCGCCUGGUGGCCGCCUCUCCUGGCAGCUCCCUCCCAGGGGCCGCAUCAGCCAGCAGCCUCCUCCAAGGCCUCAGCUUCAGCUUGCAGGAUAUCAGCAGCAAGACCUCUGGCCUCCCAGCAAACCCCUCUCCCGGGCCAGCCCCACAGGCCACCAGUGUGAAGUUGCCCACCCCCAUGCAGAGCCUGGGUGCCAUCACCACGGGCACCAGCACCAUUGUCCGUACCAUUCCUGUGGCCACCACUCUCUCCUCCUUGGGUGCCACUCCUGGUGGGAAGCCCACAGCCAUCCACCAGCUGCUGACCAAUGGGGGCCUCGCCAAGUUGGCAAGCAGCCUCCCUGGCCUGGCUCAGAUCUCUAACCAAGCCUCAGGCUUGAAGGUCCCCACCACCAUCACUCUGACACUACGUGGCCAGCCCAGCCGAAUCACCACACUGAGCCCCAUGGGCUCAGGAGCAGCCCCAUCAGAAGAGCCCACCUCCCAGGCGCUGCCCUCCAGCUCACAGGCGAGGAAAUGGAGGCCCAGUGAACCCUAUUCGUCUGGUGUCACCAGCGUGGCAGCUACUGUUUUGGUCUACCUGGCAGACACACUUCCUGUGAGGUAACCCAGGUGCCCCCAGUAGGAACCUCCUGUGCCCCACCCACUUGUGUGGCAGGCAACUGGGGGUGCAGCGGGGGGCUCACCGGGAAGAUUCAGCAGCAGCCCGGCACGUCUGCACCACCACCAGGGCGGACCAGCGCUUCCGGCUCACGCCCUCAGCCCCCAGGGGUGCUGUAGGGCAUCCCGCCAGCCAGGCCCCGGGGCUUAGCUCAGAGCACUGGAGUCACGCCCGAGUACCCAGCUCUGCUCCCCCACUUACCUGCGGGGGAACCUGGGCACGUCCCCAGCCCUCUCGGAGCCUCAGGCCCCCACCUGUACCACGAGGUAGGUAAAAGGCAGCUGUCCUGAGGCGCAACUAGCCAAGCAGACUGAAGGCACAGGAUGAAGGGCACAGCCUGCUGAGGUAUGAGCGGGAGGCUGGGUUUGGCUCCGGGUCCCACUCUUCAUUGGGGUGAUGGCAUCCCAGGCCCGAGCAGGUGCUGGGCAGGUCCCUCUCCUUGGCUCCCCUGUGUCACCCUGUGGGAGGCGCCACCCGCAAGGACGCCCCCACCUUGCCCUUGCAAAGGUCCACGCCACACAUAACCUCAGGGCUGCGUGGAUUCACAGGUGUUUUAUUGGCUUUUCCGUAGGCAGCCUGGAGGCCUCACGCUGCUAACCAGCCCCUCGACCCCUCACCCCGCCCCUGGCCUCUGCUCUGGGGCCCCGGCUGGGAGCCAUCAGCCUUAACAUCUUCUCCCAAGGCCUUGCAACCACUGGGCCCCCAGCCCCUGGGCUCAGGCUGCCUCCUUGAGAGAUAAACCCACUUUUCUCACUGCUUCUCUUUGGGCCAGGCUCCCAAGCCGAGGGCGCAUCCCUGCGUCAGGCACAGCCGAGUUCUCCUGAGGAGUGGGCUCCAGCCCAGAGCCCCUUGGCAGUGCCUACCCAUCCCAGGCUGAGUCAGACCCUGUGCACAGUGUUGCGGGCUCAGGCCUACAGCUUGGUGUUGAGGUGGAAGGAGAAGUGGGGCACUGCAUAGGUUGUGGCAGGUGGCACGUGCCACGCAGACGAGGCUGGGCAAAGUCUGUGGCGCAGAGCACUGUUGAAGGAUGCGGGGGGGAAGUGCAUCAGGCCAGCGGCCAUGGGUGAGGGUGCUGCAGUGGCCAGGAGGUGGGCUGGGAAGGCCGGGAUGACCAGGGGGCUGAAAGGGAGUGUGGCCUGGCCCUUUAAGGGGUCCAGGGUGCUGGCGAAGUUCAGUGGGCAGCGCAGCAUGGUGCCCCUGUAGGCCUCUGGAAGGGUGGGCCCCAGGGCCGGGCCCAGCAGGCAGGAGACGGCCAAGUCGGGCCCCACAGACUUGGUCCCGCACUCCUUGGUAUCCACCUCCUUAAGAAAGGGAGACACUGCCCGCAGUUUUUUGCCGCCAUGGACCAAGCCCUCUUCCUCCAGGCUGCGCUUGUUGCCCAGGCCUGGGCUGCUUGGGAAGGUGGUCAGGGGCACGGGGCUCUCGGCAGGGACCUUGGUCAUGGGGGACACCCAGCAGGCUUUGGGUUUGGGGUAGAGGCCGCCCCUUCUGGAGCCGCCCUUGUGGAAUGCAGACGGGUGGUCGGCAUCCCCACCCCACACCAGCUGGGGCUCUUUGGCUGGCAGCCCCUCCUCUUUGCUAGGAGGCCCUAAUAACACCCCAUCUUUAAGACUGGGGAAGAAGUUCCGGGGGUGCUGGCUGAUAGGCUUCAGCACCUCGGUGGGGUAGGCGUGGAAGCAGCCAGUGAAGAUGGGGGCCGACGGGCGAGGGCCCACCUGAGCCUCCUCCUUGAGGCUGCCACCAGGGCCCUGUGUUCCCUCCGGAGGCGUCAGCCGGUGCCUGGAGUUCUCGGCCGGCCCUCCUGGGCUCCGGGGAUUCUCCAGGGGCCGAAUAGCUGGGGGUGCCUGGGACUCCCCACCUGCCCCGUGGCGACAGCCCUCCUCCUGGCACUGCAAGGCCUCCGCCUUGCUCACCUGGGCCAGAAGCUUCUUCUUGGCCAGUGGUGACAUGAUACCAUGUGUCCCUUUGCAGUAGAAGCUGGACAGAAGCCGCCGGUAGGCCUCAGGGCAGCCGCUGGCACCCACGAAGGGCAGAGAGGGCCCAGGGGCUGGGCCUCGCUGUUCCAUGCCGUCCCUGGAGGGCUCCUGGCUAGGAAGCCUUGCCAGGUCAGGGGCAUCUGUUUUGGUCUUUCCUGGCAUCAUCUGGAAAGAGAGAAAAGGCCAGGCCUCAGGGCUGGGUGUGGCCAUGCACCCAGACCUGGGGACUUGGUGACAGCAAGGUCCCAAGGGGACACCCAGGAGCCUCUGCUAGCCCUUCCAGCACCUUUGUACAGAAUUUUCAAAAGGUGUCCCGUCCUCUGAAUAGACGCAGCCUGGGGUCAGGACACAGGGACUGGUGAACGGGGUGCAGACUGGAGUUCAGACCCCACCCAUCGCACCCACCAGUGCCGCCCUCAGAGAAGGUUCUGGGUGUUCUAGGCAGGGAGCCCUGCGGCCAAGGUGAGGACAGGUAGGGGGCGCUGUGAGGGGCAGGGCGAGGAGGCCAGGGUCAGCUGGUGGCCCCAGCCGGGCUCAGAGCUCACCUGGUCCACCCGCUUCUCCUCCUUGGCUUUCUUUGGCCUCUCAGUGGCCCCAUCAUCCCCCCGAGGCUCCUUGGCCACCUUGUACUGCUUCCUGGGCUUGGAGGGGGGUAGGGGCUUGUCAUCCUCUCCCUUCAGGUGCCGCACGUAUGGGAGGACCAACCUGGGGAGGAACCGGGCACGCUGACCAGGAGGCCAGGCUGGCAGCAGGCUCCCACCGCUCCAGGCCCACCCGGCCUCCUCCAGCCCCGGACCGCGAACACCCAGACACCCCACGGGGGCCCGCGCUCUCCCUCGUCUCGUCCAGGAGGCCUGCAGUCUGCUCUCCCGCCUCAGGGCCCUGCUGGUCCAACCCUGGGGGGUGAAGGCCCAGGUCCUGUGACCCGGGGGCCUGGCCGUACCUCUCGUAGUGGCGGCGCGUGCACGUGGCGGCGCUGGUGCUGCCCGGGCUGCCCCCCAGCUCGUCAUACACGUUCUUCCAGAGGCGGCGGCCAGUCACCUGCAAGGAUGCCACCUACUUUUCUACAUGAACCAGGAUUUCUACUCCAGCCUGUGCCACCGAAGCAAAUGGCUGAGAAGCGCGACGCUGAGGAGUGGAGGCUGACCGCUCCGACCACGCUGGUCAGCACAGCUGCGCUGACCUCGCGAGGCGACUUUAAGGAGGUGCUGGAAGGAGAGGAAGAGGGAGAGAAGCGGGAAGGAGGGAGAGAACGUGAGAUGCUGGCAGGGAGGAGCGGGCGGCAGGAGGGCCAGGUGGGGGCAGAAAGUUUGGGAAAGCUGCGGAGGCGUCCAUGUUUGUGGACCCCCAAAGCACCACGGGGGGCUGCUUGGACCAUAAACCCUCCAGGAAUAAUCAAGAAGAGAGUAAGUUCCUAUUUGUGAAGCACCCAGCCUUUGCCUGAGCACCAGCAGAGUCCUCACUGCCCCUAAUUAGGCCACACGCUCCCCUCACCUGCAUGGUUCCUGGUGACCCUUCAGGUCUCACCUGACAAGUCGCUUCCUCGGGGUGGCCCUUCCCAGCCCCCAGCCAAGCACAGCACUUCUCUCUAGUCAUCCUCUAGCCAUCCUCACACCAUCCAGAUGGGCCUUCCAGACUGAGAUGCCCAUGGCUCAUCUGGCCUCCUGAGAGCUUCGUGAGGCCGCCCAGCAACCCACAAAGUAGGUGGCAGAACUGUCCUGGUUCGCUCCAACUCAAGAAAUUCUUACUGCUGGGAACCUGCAAGAUUCCCCCUCCAACCCAGACAGAAAAAGAAUCUCCAUAAGAACAAGAAACCCACGCCAGAGUGACCCACAAGGGGACAAGGGUUCGAGCCCUGGUCCGGGAAGAUUCCACAUGCCGCGGAGCAACUAAGCCCGUGAGCCACAACUACUGAGCCUGUGUGCUGCAACUACUGAAGCCCACGCGCCUAGAGUCCGUGCUCCGCAACAAGAGAAGCCACCGCCAUGAGAAGCCCGCGCACCGCAAUGAAGAGUAGCCCCCAUUCGCUGCAACUAGAGAAAGCCCGCGUGCAGAAACGAAGACCCAACACAGCCAAAAAUAAAUUUAUAAGGAAGCGACACUUCCUUUCAUGAAAAGUCACCCACUGGGAGCACCGCGUCAAUUACGACAAUAAUGGUAACAGCAGCCUCAGUAACACCCAGCAGACGCAGCCACACCUCCUCGCCUAAGGCCGUUGGCUUAAGUUUCUCUUAGCUUGAGCUGGAGCUGAAACAAAGACAGCCUUUGAAGCGGCCAGUCCACUCUGUGGCCCAGGAGCCCGCUGCCUGGCAGUCUCCGUGUGGGGCUCGCUCCAGCGUGGUUUGGGGAAGGGGGACCUGCCAAGGGCUGUGCUCCAGCCAGUGCUAAGGACAGACGGACGACCUGGACAUGAAAGCCCAGAGGGCACAGGGUGCAGCUCCGACCCAGCCCUGCCUCUGGGUCUCAGCUGGGGGAAGAGGGGGGUCAGGGUCUAGGAACAUCUGGGGCCAAGAUGACAGCCUUGAGUGUAGAAAAAUGGGGGCAUGGGGGCACCAAAUAUGACACUGCCAACUCCCAAGGCCUGCUGGAAUUUGGCCGCUCUUUAGCCAGCUCUGGGAUAUCCUAAAAGACCCUUUUCCAGGAUGGGGCUGAAUCCCCACUGUCCCUCCCCUCCAAGUCUGGGUGAUAUUUGACAAUAACAGUAACGGCUCCAUCUAUGGACCGUUUCCUGUGUCCCCACAGACUACAUUUCCUGCACCUAUUCCACCUAUGGGGGAACCAGGCUUGGCAGCAGCUUGUCCAAAACACUGGCCAACAGUAGAGGCACAGCCAGGACGGAGCUGUGUCAGCUGCCUGACCUCUGCCUGGGGCACUCGUUUGCCUCUCAGCUUUUCCGCUCCGCUCCUAGAGCACCCCACACCCUCCGCCAAGGAUGGCUCUCCAAGUCGGUACCGCAAGGUCCCAGAGGGAGGGUGGGCCAUCCCAGGCCAGUCUCCAGAAACUAUUGCAAAGGGAGAGAGGGGCGGGGUCUUAGAGGCCUGAUUCGUCCUCACUGCCAGACCAGGGCUGGUCUGUAAGCCUCAGUUUCCCAGACUGUAACUCAAAGAAGAAGAGGCUGAUUCCCUGAGGUCUUUUCUGCCUCUGCCGUUCCAAGUUCGAGGCCCCAGACGGGUCCCCGGGGCUUGUACGGACUCCGGAACUCCACUCCCGUGGCCCAACCCACUAGCUGCCAUCUCCCAUCCCUCCUCUGCCCUAACACGGCCUGUGGGCGCAGAGACCCCAAGCCACCAACACUGGUGAUCGGGAGGGGACAAGAAGCACCUGUUAUCCUCUCCUCGGCCCCGCGGACCCCUCCUCGAUAGCUGACGACCCCGCAAACAAAGGAACCCUGGGUCUGGCCAGCGAAGUGCCGCCGGACCCGCACCCUGAGCCUUCGGGGGUCCGGCAGCCGGCGACUCCCAUCCCUAUCCCAGCGUCCGCAGGUCUGGAGGACGGGAGCCCGGCCUGGCCGCGCCCCCUGAACACCCUGCUCAGGGACCGAGACGAGGCAGCCGUGUCGUGGUUCCAGGCUCGGACUGAGCGCUAAGCCAAACACUUCUCGCACGCUCGCAGCCCGCGCACCGCCACUCCUCUUCUCUCCCCCACCCCACCGCCCCCAUCACUCCCGGGGCCGCCACCCUGUCCCUCCUGGAGACCCGAGGAGAGAAAAAAGAGACAAGAGAAAGAUGAGCAGAGCAAAAAGGGAAGCUACUUCUUCCCUGCCGGGGGGAGCGUGGGGGUGGGGGCGGGGUGUGUAGAGGAGGGUGGACAGGAGACAAGAAGAGGAGAGACCAGAGAAGAAAAGAAAAAAGGGAAGAGAAAAGGAAAAGAGAAAGGGUAGGGGGCGAGCAGCCGAUAAGCGCCGAAGGAUCAGCACGCCCCUCGGCUGAAAGAGGAACAGUUGAUUCUUCAAAAUGCAUUGAGCAAGUUCUUCAAAGCCCGCGCAGAGUCACUUUCAGGAAACGGCGGCCGCAAUGGAAAGCGUCCCGCGCGCCCAGCGGACCCCGGUGCCCCUUUCUCGGCGGCGCCGGCGGGUUCUGAGAACCACCGGGA